UCCAACAGUGCAAGGCGGCCGGCGGCUUCUGCGCAGGCGCUGUAAGAACCGAUGUGAUGGGACGCGGUAAUUUGGCAAGGUGUUCGCAUUCCAGCUGCUUUCGAUCCACACGUAAAGUCAGCCCCUUGCUCUCCACCGCGUUGUAGGAUUGGCAGGAAUGGACAGUGGUUUCCCUUUGUGCAUUGACAGAGACAAGGAAGAGACCCUGCCAACCUCUCAGAAGCAAAACAGAAGACCAAGCUCUGCCUCUCUGUUGCUGGCCUCUGUCUUGGGUCCUGGAAGCCAGGCCUGAGGGAGUGAAAACACCAGAUUAAGUGUCUGGAGGCAGAUAAGUCUCAGAACAGCCCGCUCUUACAGGCAAGACUAUGUUUGGGGUCAGGUGAUAGACCUCUUAUUAAA